rnacentral:rRNA from 1 species
UAGGUCCCAAGGGUAUGGCUGUUCGCCAUUUAAAGUGGUACGCGAGCUGGGUUUAGAACGUCGUGAGACAGUUCGGUCCCUAUCUGCCGUGGGCGCUGGAGAACUGAGGGGGGCUGCUCCUAGUACGAGAGGACCGGAGUGGACGCAUCACUGGUGUUCGGGUUGUCAUGCCAAUGGCACUGCCCGGUAGCUAAAUGCGGAAGAGAUAAGUGCUGAAAGCAUCUAAGCACGAAACUUGCCCCGAGAUGAGUUCUCCCUGAGACUUUAGGUCUCCUGAAGGAACGUUGAAGACGACGACGUUGAUAGGCCGGGUGUGUAAGCGCAGCGAUGCGUUGAGCUAACCGGUACUAAUGAACCGUGAGGCUUAACCUUACAACGCCGAAG